rnacentral:misc_RNA from 1 species
AACACCGACGAACGGCAAGACAAUUCCAGAAGAUUUUGUCUGAGGAUGGAUAGGAGCAGCUUCUUCGAUAUCUCCAUCGGAGGACAGAGCCUUAACCAGACGGGACCUAGAAAAGGCAGUACGCACGAGUUCGGUUCCCAUGGAGACCGAAUCGGCUGGACGCAGUCCACAGAAACUGAUCCUGCCAGUCAUGUAACUGUUAUUAUUAAAAGACGACACUGAUACCGAUAAUGAACUACUCUUCCUAUAACCACCGGAAAGGCCACACGCAGCGAGCAGUCUCCUCCGGUUAAGAGGCUGAGAACCGACGCUUAUGCUGGUGGCGGUCCC